AUUGAACGCUGGCGGCAUGCCUUACACAUGCAAGUCGAACGGUAACAGGUCUUCGGAUGCUGACGAGUGGCGAACGGGUGAGUAAUACAUCGGAACGUGCCUAGUAGUGGGGGAUAACUACUCGAAAGAGUGGCUAAUACCGCAUGAGAUCUACGGAUGAAAGCAGGGGAUCGCAAGACCUUGUGCUACUAGAGCGGCCGAUGGCAGAUUAGGUAGUUGGUGGGAUAAAAGCUUACCAAGCCGACGAUCUGUAGCUGGUCUGAGAGGACGAUCAGCCACGCGAGGACUGGGAAACGGCGCAGACUCCUCCGGGAGGCAGCAGAGGGGAAUUGUGGACAAUGGGCGCAAGACUGAUCCAGCAAUGCCGCGUGCAGGAUGAAGGCCUUCGGGUUGUAAACUGCUUUUGUACGGAACGAAAAGCCCCGGGUUAAUACCCUGGGGUCAUGACGGUACCGUAAGAAUAAGCACCGGCUAACUACGUGCCAGCCGCCGCGGUAA
rnacentral:rRNA from 1 species